rnacentral:misc_RNA from 1 species
CCACCACCACCAACAACAACAACAGUGAAUGACAAUGAUACUGUUGAUUAAAAAAAUUACAAAAAGCUCAAAAAAAAUUACCUUACCAAAGGGUGCCACAACAAUAUUGCUCCUUCCAAAGAAUCAUUUUGUAUGAUCCAGACAACAGAAAGUGGUAAUCCAAAUAAUAUUAAUCAGCUAAGAAAAAUAAAGCUUGUCUUCUCAUCUUCUAGAUUAGAUCUCAAGAAUGAAAAUGAAAGACCAAUUUCUAUUCCAUUUACAUGUAAUAUAACCAAUAUGAUAUUUCACUAUCCAAGUUCAGCAGGUUGUCCAUUUGUUCAAGUUUAAAGGCAAUCAAAACUCUGUUCUACUUAGUUCUGCAAAAAAUAAAGAUUGCAUUAAUUUCUUUCUUUAUUCAGCCAAUAUGCAGUUUCUGCUACUAAUAGCAUACAUUCGAGUACAGUGAAUAGUUUGUUGCUGAAAUUAUAAUUACAGGAUAUAUGGCUUGUGGUUUUUAUUUCUAUCUAUUUGUGUAUAUAUAUAUGUUACAAACACAUGCAGGAAUCAAUUUGCAAUUUUCCUUGUUUGCUAAUUUGGAUAUGGAUAUGUCUACCUGAAAUGCCUCAUAUCUUAGAGGCAUCAGAAGUAACUCGGCUCAAGGCAAUAGCAGUCUUUGAUCCAGAUGGACGACCUAAAUGCUUGCUUAUAAAAUCCCCAGCAGAGAGGAGUUUUGGUAGAUCGACAUUGGUUUUCACCCCAAGCCCAUUAAGCAUGUAGACAACGUCUUCAGUGGCAACAUUGCCUGACGCUCCCUUAGCAUAUGGGCACCCACCUAAACCAGCAAUAGAUGAGUCCACUGUGCUAAUCCCCAUCUGUUAAAAGCAAAAAUAUUGUUAUUGAGAUCGAUACAUUUGCCAAUAGGAAAUAAAUAAAAACAAUAAAGAUGCAUUUGCGAAAUUUGCAUUGAGCAUGAAUACAGAAAAUAUAAAAUUUUCAGCUCUAAUGUAUUCAUUUCUGCUAAAUACUGGAUAUUUAGCAUUCCAUCAGGAGAUAACUAUAGACUAAUCCAAAUUAAGCACAGCAUAUUGCAAGAGGUGGCUGAAAUUAGAUAUAGCUUAAUAAGCAAUGCAUAUAAAUACUCCAUCAGCAUAUUGCACAGGCUAUUUAUCAUAAUCCAAAUCCAACGCAUACCUGGAGGGAAACCAAAAUAUUUGGAAGAGAUUGCCCAUAUGUAUCAUGAAAGUGGACAGCAAGCUUCUUAACAGGAACAACAGCCAUUACAGCUUCAAGCAUGGGAAUUACAGUCCCACAUGUACCAACACCAAUUGUAUCACCGAGAGAAAUUUCAAAGCAAUCCAUGUCAUAAAGUUCCUUUGCCACAUAUGCCACUUUUGAAGGAGAAAUUGCUCCCUCCACAGGACAUCCAACAACGCAUGAUACAUACCCACGAACAGGAAUUCCAAGCUCUUUAGCAGCACGAGUAACAGCACGAUAACGAGCAAGACUCUCUUCAAUGCUACAAUUUAUGUUUGACUUCGAAAAUGACUCAGAAGCUGAUGCAAAAACUGCUACUUCCUUAGCACCAGCAGCAACAGCUGCUUCAAAUCCUUUUAGAUUAGGUGUCAGAACAGGCAAUCUAGAGCCCUCCAAACUUUGAACUGCUUUCAUCACAUCUCUUGCAUCUGCUAACUGAGGAACCCAUUUAGGUGAUACAAAACUUGUAGCCUCAACAACUGGCAACCCAGAAGAGACUAGUCUGCGAAUCAAUUCAAUCUUUACAUCUGUAGGUACAAUAUUUUUCUCAUUUUGUAGUCCAUCUCUUGGACCAACUUCUACUAUCUUCACAAACUUUGGUAUGCCCUUCCAAAACUUAUUUGUUAAAUCCCGCGUGUCGUUGUCAUUGGACUUGGAGUUGUAUUGACGAUCUGGAAAGCACCGUGAGUCCCAAACUGUUCCACACAGUGCGUGGUUCCUGCCUAAGCUCAUGGUUCUUUGACCAAAGGAAUUACCAUGGGACAAAUCCCUGGUAUGUCUUUUCCAAGGAAAUGUCUCUCUUGUAUACUCCUCAUAAUCUUCCUCGCAACUGUUGGAUGAGCUGCAACUCCUUCCUUCAAUCCAGCAACUUCCCAUUCCCAUUUCAUCAGCACUGGGACGACAAGCACCAGAUGAGAACCUUUGAAUCAUGUCAACAGUACUCAUGCUUGGCAACUUGUCAAAGCCAAGUGGCUCUUCCAAACUCGACAUUUCUGAAUUGAAGGAAAAAGCUUGAAAGGAAAGAGUUAGGUUUCAGAGAUUAAUCUGUGGUUUAGCUAAAAAAUUCAGUCAUUCCUUGGGGUUAGAUGAAAAGAAAGAGGAAGAAGAGAAGGUUAGACAACGUGAAGAAGGAGCCGC